rnacentral:rRNA from 1 species
CGGACGGGUGAGUAACGCGUGGAAAACCUGCCGUAUACUGGGGGAUAACACUUAGAAAUAGGUGCUAAUACCGCAUAAGCGCACAGCUUCGCAUGAAGUGGUGUGAAAAACUCUGGUGGUAUACGAUGGUUCCGCGUCUGAUUAGCUUGUUGGUGGGGUAAUGGCUCACCAAGGCGACGAUCAGUAGCCGGCCUGAGAGGGUGAACGGCCACAUUGGGACUGAGGCACGGCCCAAACUCCUACGGAAGGCAGCAG